rnacentral:rRNA from 1 species
UACGUAGGUGGCAAGCGUUGUCCGGAUUUACUGGGCGUAAAGGAUGCGUAGGUGGAUAUUUAAGUGGGAUGUGAAAUACCCGGGCUCAACUUGGGUGCUGCAUUACAAACUGGAUAUCUAGAGUGCAGGAGAGGUAAGUGGAAUUCCUAGUGUAGCGGUGAAAUGCGUAGAGAUUAGGAAGAACACCAGUGGCGAAGGCGACUUACUGGACUGUAACUGACACUGAGGCAUGAAAGCGUGGGGAGCAAACAGG